rnacentral:rRNA from 1 species
GACGAACGCUGGCGGCGUGCUUAACACAUGCAAGUCGAACGGAAAGGCCCUGCUUUUGUGCGGUUCCCGGGUGGCGAACGGGUGAGGAACACGUGAGUAACCUGCCCUUCAUUUUCGGGUAACUUCAGGAAACUGGGCCUAAGCUCAUACCGGAGCUCCUCUUCCAGUGAAGGCGGUGGAACGUUGCUGCGGUUGGGGAUGGACUCGGGGCUUAUCAGCUUGUUAGUGGGGUGGUGGCUUCCCAAGCAAGUGACCGGUCGCCGGCCUGAGAGGGUGACCGGCGACAUUGGGACUGAGAUACGGCCCAGACUGCUACGGGAGGCAGCAGUGGGGAAUAUUGCCCAAUGGGAGGAAGUCUGAUGCAGCAACGCCGCGUGCGGGAUGACGGCUUUCUGGUUGUAAAACGCAUUAGCUUGAGACGAAGCGUGAGUGACGGUAAUGGGUAAAGAAGCACCGGCUAACUACGUG